AUUGAACGCUGGCGGCAGACUUAACACAUGCAAGUCGAGCGGAGAUGAGGUGCUUGCACCUUAUCUUAGCGGCGGACGGGUGAGUAAUGCUUAGGAAUCUGCCUAUUAGUGGGGGACAACAUUCCGAAAGGAAUGCUAAUACCGCAUACGUCCUACGGGAGAAAGCAGGGGAUCUUCGGACCUUGCGCUAAUAGAUGAGCCUAAGUCGGAUUAGCUAGUUGGUGGGGUAAAGGCCUACCAAGGCGACGAUCUGUAGCGGGUCUGAGAGGAUGAUCCGCCACGCUGGGACUGAGACACGGCCCAGACUCCUACGGGAGGCAGCAGAGGGGAAUAUUGGACAAUGGGGGAACCCUGAUCCAGCCAUGCCGCGUGUGUGAAGAAGGCCUUUUGGUUGUAAAGCACUUUAAGCGAGGAGGAGGCUCUUAAGGUUAAUACCCUUGAUGAGUGGACGUUACUCGCAGAAUAAGCACCGGCUAACUCUGUGCCAGCCGCCGCUGUAAUAC
rnacentral:rRNA from 1 species